UGUAAGCGUAUACCAAAGUUGUUGCAGUUAAAACGCUCGUAGUCGGAAUUUGGCAGUUCCGGAUGUGUGCACGUCGUGUGCGCACUUCGCGGGGAUUGCUUUUGUGGUCUUGCGUAGGAUGAGGCACUUUUAUUAGUGAACGUCCUCACGCAACCACUUUUUACUGUGAGAAAAUCAGAGUGCUCAAAGCAGGCAUUUUCCGUGAAUGUAUUAGCAUGGAAUAAUAGAAUAGGACUUGGUUCUAUUUUGUUGGUUUGUUGGGACUGAGUAAUGAUUAAGAGGGACAGUUGGGGGCAUUUGUAUUUCGGUGCUAGAGGUGAAAUUCUUAGAUUACCGAAAGACAAACUGCUGCGAAAGCGUCUGCCAAGGAUGUUUUCAUUGA
rnacentral:rRNA from 1 species